rnacentral:misc_RNA from 1 species
AAAGUCGUAACAAGGUUUCCGUAGGUGAACCUGCGGAAGGAUCAUUAUUGAAUCCUUAGGAUGUCGCUGGCCCUUUGUAAAAAGGGCAUGUGCACUCCGCCUUUCAAUCCACCUGUGCACUUAUUGUAGGCUUUUGUAAGGGGAAACCCUAUCAACCUACGUAUUUAUACACACUAUUAAAGUAACAGAAUGUAACUUAGUAGACCUUCAAUGGUCGAAAACCUAAAUACAACUUUCAACAACGGAUCUCUUGGUUCUC